UUUUGUGCUUCCCUCUGUAUGAAUGUGGUUUAUGUGGUUACUCCUUGGGUCCCAAUUCAAAUCAGAAGGGCAGCACAGUUCGGGCUAAACUGAAGCUAGGACGUUCAAGAUGACAUUUCAUGGCCUCGGGAAAGCAGCGUUAGAGCGAAGAGGCUCUGCCCUCCCUCUGUGGUCGCAGCUGCUUUUGCCAUCAUGAAAUGAUUCAGAUCAGCAGAGCAGCAGGAAAAAGCAUCCCUUUCUUGGGCCCCUUACCUCCUGAGAUCCACCACAGUCCCUGCUCCUGUGAUCACAGGCACCUCCCAGUAAGAGCCUUGUCUUUGGACAGGGGAGACCUGAGCAUGGUUGGGACUCCCCACCCCCUGCCCGGGCUGGGGAAGGCUUUAGGACCCCUGCUGCUUCGGAGGUUCGUGCCAGGGAACCUCUGCGGGAGGGCUGCAGUCUGAGAGCCAAACGUGGCAGCAGUGCUGGUGUCCUGCAGGUGUGGGACGCCUCUUGUAGCAGACAAGACCUGGGGAUGGGGAUCUCUGGGGGACUGCAGGGGCUGUCUCUUGGGUUACUGCAGUGCCACUCAGCUGCGAAAACACUUUCCAUGGAAAGAAAUUAAGAAACAGGGAAGGUUGGGAAGAUGCAUCAGGAAGGAGGGGGAGGACCUGAGAAACCAGACGGCAAAGAGUGCUGGGCAGCCUGGAGUGGGAGGGAGCUGAAAGAAGCUUUGCAGAUGGGACAUACAACCUCUCUUCUUGCUUUGCAUCCAGCCCAGGAUAAUCCUCCUGCAUCGAGCCCCGAGCGCAGCUCUCAGUGACAGGCUGCAGUGAAUAGCUUCCAUCAUGGACACUGUACUCUCAGAGAGAGAAAUGCAGCUCACAGGCUGUGCUGGCACCUUCUGUGCAGCUGAUCACAGCAGGGGUGGAGUUCUUGUCUGUUUAGCCACCCAGAUCUGGUGUUUGGUCACCCAAAGCAGCACCAAAGGCCUUGAUCAGGCCAUUGCUGCCCUGAGUAAGGUGAAGCAAUAUAAUGAAGACUUUUGCCCCCAGCUGAUGUGCAGCCCCUCUGAUCAAGGACAGCCAGGCAGUGGCUCUCCUCCCGAGCCUGGAUGGCUGUCAGCACACGCUGCACACUUUGGCAUUUGGUUGUGAUUUGGACCUCUGCCUGGAUGGCAAAGGGAUGGAUUCCAAAACGUGUCUCUCCCACGAGCUUCGAUGCUUGGAGCUGUGCUGAGCUUCCCAAGUCCCAGCUGGCUUUCUGGCAAUCUCUCCCCCUCUCAGCUCAGAAGGAGAUCAUGCUCAAAGGACGAGCUUGCUGGGCUCUGGAUGUGGCAUCUUCUCCUCGGUUUAUCACCUCAGCCUUAGGAAAAAUCUCAACAACAUUCUCAAUACAAGAAGUGAGCAAAUAUUUGUCAGGGUUUGGUUUUGGGAUGUUUCUGGUGGGUAUUACAAGAGAAAUACAAGCUAGAAAAGGGCAGGCUCAUCAAUAGUCCCUUCAGGAUGCCAGAGCCAUGUGACAGAUUCAGUCAGCUCUGGUAGCAAUGAAGUCCUUGGAAUGGAGCAUUGUCAGGGGAUUAGUCUUCUGCUUGCAGAAGGAAUGCCCUGGCAGUUAGCUAGCAGCACGGUGCCCUGGUCUUGCUGACAGUGCUCUGUGUCACUGGUGCUGCCUGUGAUGCAGCUUCUGUUCAGCCGUGAGCUGUUUCCAUCCAAGCUUUCCCUUCUGUGAGACCUUUUCCUUCAUGCUGUUACAGGUACUGGAGCAGCCCUCCACAGCCCUGCGAGCUGAGUCUGCAGUGAGGCUGUGAAGGGAGCCUUAAAGAGCGAAGUGGCCACCAGCUCUGGAGCCUCUGUAGUGUGAGAGGGCUGCUGGCUGGAGAGCUGGAGAGUGUCAGCUGCAGUUUGUUUCUGUCAGGGUAAUGUGGUAGUUGUACACAUGCCACUCUCCCAGGAAUGUGAACGCUUCGUUAGCUCUGUCCCUGUCCUGGAAAACCCAAUAUGGCACAAAUAAAGUGCGGUAAAUGGCUUCAUGGAAAGCAGAUGUGGGUGGAAGCCUAGACUCCUACCAAGGCUAAAGGGGACUUCAAAGACUGAAAGAGCAAGCUGAACAAAAUAUUCAACUGUGCCAAAUUUUCACUGUUCUUGAUGAAAGAGCAAAAGUGAGGAGGAGGGGAAAAAAAUCUGGCUCCUUGUUUUAAUUUUCUACUAGCCUAGGGCAAGACUUUUAGAAGGAAUAAAUUACAAGCAAAGAGGGAGAGAGGCUGAAUGGAACAACUGCUGAACAAAGGGCAUUCUUGGAAGGGCCUGGGUUCAGAGAACCUAGAAGUUGUCAGCUCAGUUAUCAGGAGGUCAUCUUCCUCCCCACUGCUUUUGAGCAAUGCCAUGGCUCCACAUGAGCCGGCUGCACACAGAUGCUGUCACUGCACAGUGGCGGUGGCUGCCUGGAAAGUGUCCUCUGCAGAAGCAUCCUGUAGCUCAGCCAAAGGGAGAAGGCUUUGAAAACUGGGCAGCAGAUGUGGAUGCAACAUAAAUGAUUGCAACCUUUAAAGCUGUUUUCCAGAAGAAGCCAUUUGGGCUGGACCUGGGAACGGUGCAAAAUGUGGAUGAUGGUAUUCAAGAGGAUAGAACGUGCCAAAUCUGAAAGCCAGGAUAAUUCAUUCCUGUUGGUUUGGGUAUCAUGUACUACACAAGGAUAAAAAACCAACCUACCAUGCACAAAA